UGGGGAAUCUUGCACAAUGGGCGAAAGCCUGAUGCAGCCAUGCCGCGUGAAUGAUGAAGGCCUUAGGGUUGUAAAAUUCUUUCGCCAGGGAUGAUAAUGACAGUACCUGGUAAAGAAGCCCCGGCUAACUUCGUGCCAGCAGCCGCGGUAAUACGAAGGGGGCUAGCGUUGUUCGGAAUUACUGGGCGUAAAGCGCGCGUAGGCGGACUAUUAAGUCAGGGGUGAAAUCCCGGGGCUCAACCUCGGAAUUGCCUUUGAUACUGGUAGUCUAGAGUCCGUGAGAGGUGAGUGGAACUCCGAGUGUAGAGGUGAAAUUCGUAGAUAUUCGGAAGAACACCAGUGGCGAAGGCGGCUCACUGGCACGGUACUGACGCUGAGGUGCGAAAGCGUGGGGAGCAAACAGGAUUAGAUACCCCCGUAGUCC
rnacentral:rRNA from 1 species